rnacentral:misc_RNA from 1 species
GAUAUCAUCUCUCCAGAUCUUAUCAAUAUUAUGACGACCAUAAUGCUGAAGAAAAAUGUCCUUGUUUCCUUUGCAUUUCACUUGGAAAAACUCCUCGUUAGUGGAUCGAGAACAAAGCACCGCUGGUUUAUCAUAUAGCUUUCCGUCUAAUGUUUCAGGAAGAACAGCUAGAAAUCGAAACGCAAACUCUCUCUGUAUGAACGCUGGAAUCUCAGACUUCUUAAUCUCGAAAACUGUAAUGAUGAUAGUUUCUCCUUCACAAGGCUCCGCAAAUAAGCUUGAAAUCUCCUUGGUUUCAGAUUUAGCAAUGCCGUGGUCAAAGAAUAUAGGGGCUAUAAUUCCGAAAACGCGUCUGAAAUCGUUCAAUCUCGCAACUCUAAAGUUGAUCAAAUCAGGAAAAGUACUUCGCGCACUCCUCUCAGAGAGGAGAGAUCCAAAGCCACAAACGGAAAUAUAAUCGCCGUCGGAGAAGAUUGCUUCAAAAUCGGACUCAUCUCGCAGCUCCUUUGGUUCUGAGAGGAGAGAUUCAACGCCAAAAACAGAAAUAUAAUCGCCGUCGGAGAAGAUUGCUUCAAAAUCGGACUCAUCUCGCAGCUCCUUUGGUUCUGAGAGGAGAGAUUCAACGCCAAAAACA